rnacentral:lncRNA from 1 species
UCCCUUCUUGUCCAGGGUCCCUCCCCAUCUUCCUGCUCUUUGCCACUGCCCUGAAGAAUGCCAGGCUGGACCACACCAUUGACCACGUCCUCAUAUAUAUUGCACCUGCCUCCCUGAGACACAAAGGAGGGAGAAAACCCCCUACAAAUAUUCAGGGGCCCAUCCCCUUCGUAAAGCUGUGGGAAGAACACGGAAUGUUUCAGGACAGCCUAAAGAAGUGAAAGAGACUUCUAUAGACCUAAAAAGGGAGGCAUGCAGAGACUUGUUUGAUUUUGAAGGCCGCCUAUUGGUCAUCUGGGUGUGCCAUCCCAAAGCCUCUACCGAGGAACCUGUAAGGUGAGCAGUGGUGAGUGGGGCCCUCCGAACCCCAUCGCCUAACAGACCCAGUGGCAUUCAAGUGUUUGUGGCCAACAGCAAUGCUGCAGAGAGCCCCAGCGGGCAGAUCACAAAGUGCCAGUGUUCUGGAACAGAGAAACAGAACCUUGGCCUACUACUUGGUCCUGGUGGGGACAGAACUGCUGACUGGGAGCAUCAGCUGCCUGCCAUCCUGAGCUCCAUCCAUCACGGACUGGGUGUGAGCCGAUCAGUGCUCCCAUGAAGUCAGGCCUGUGCAUCUGCAAUCUGACAUCUCAUAGAGAUGGUGCAUUGAGAGCUUGCACUCGAGAAAACCCAGGAGGUACACAUCAGUUGGCUUAGACCCUGAGACAUGUCCUCUUGCUUGUUGCUUCCCCUCCCUCAAUGGACAUCUCCUGGGAAAUUCCCAAGACCAGAUGGCCGAGGAGGCCUGCUUCCAGAUGUGUCUCCAGGGCAGGCUGGCUCUAGCUGAGCACAGGCUGUGAGGGCAUUACAGCCCCAAUCUCUGGUGUCCUUGGAGGAUGGUAGAGAGUUCAUUUCAGGGGACAGAGCUUGAGCAGAGGAAUUUGUUACCCUUUCAGGAUUGAAAGAGCCAGAAUUUGCCUGUGCCAGUGAUUCUUCCCUUUCCCUCACUGCCUCAGGGGUAUCUGGCGAUGUCUGAAGAUAUUUUUGAUUGUCAUAUCUAAGUGCUACUGGUCACCAGUGGGUAGAGGUCAGCCAGGGACGUUGGUAAAUAUCUUACAACAUACAUAGGCCAGUCCCCUACCAAGAGGAAUGAUCUGGCCCCAAAUAUCAUUAGUGCCACUGUUGAGAAAUCUUGGUCCACACUGAUUUACAGGCAGGGGCAAAUAGUUAAUUGGAUGAUCAGGAACUUGUCACAAAAAUGGUGACAAGGGAGUUCCCACUGUGGCUCAUUGGGUUAAGGACCCGAUGUAGUCUCCUUGAGGAUUUGGGUUCAAGCACUGGCCUCUUUCAGUGGGUUGAGGAUCUGGUGAUGCCACAAGCUUCGUCAUAGGUGGCAGAUGCAGCUCAGAUUUGACUCCUGGCCCAGGAACUUCCAUAUGCUGUAGAUGUGGCCAUAAAAAGAAAAAAAAAAGAUUGGUGACAAGGAGGUGUGGUGACAAAGAGAAGACAUCUCUGGAUUGUCUCUGAGCAUGGAGAUACUGUGUCCCAUAUUUAUGCUCAUUUAAAGUAUCCCAGGCAGGGGAGGCUCUGAGGAGCCUGGCGGACACAAUGGCGUGUCCUGUGAUGCCAGUGGACCCUUCCAUCAGCCAUCCUGAGGUUUGCUCCAUGGGCCCCAUACAGGGACCCCAUUGCAGGCCUGGGGUCUGGGGAUUUUCCCUCCCCAAGGCCAGCCUGGAGGCCACUCCACUGUACUUGACUGACCUCUGGUAGCAGAGACCAGAGUGGAGCCCUCAUGAUGUCUCCCUUCCUGAUGUGGCCAGUCAAUCAGUCUGGCCGAUCACACCUGACCCUUUCCAUUAUGGAGGAAGAGCCAUUUUUCUCACCAGAAGAGAUGUGCUCUGAAUUCAGACCAGCAACCUGACUGCAAUGCUUUUGCUGAAAACUGCCAUUUGUGGGUUCGCUCAUCAUGAUGGAGCUUCUGGUGAAGAAUCUCAGCUUCCCAGGUGAGUGGCUUCCCACUCAGAAGAAUCUCAGCUUCCCAGCGAUGGGAUCAGGCACAGGGGACUACAUUGCUGCUCCUCCAACUGACCCAGAAGGCAGCUGGUCUGUUGGAGCUGGGGAAUGGUCCCCAGAGACUGUGAUGAAGCAGCUCCUAGAAGGUAGGGGUUCACGCUUACAAAUGGAUUUUGAUUUGAAUCAGCCAAAGCCCUACAGUAGGGUCUGCCAGUGGCCAGAACACAUGGUCUGAGAGUGGGGGCAGCUCUUGUCACAGUUUUGCCUUGUAAACAAGAGCCUGUGCUUCCCUGCCCCAAACCCCUAGCCCUUCGAGUUUAUACCUCUCUGUUCCCAAGGAGAGAGGGCCUCCUCCAUGGGCCAGGCUUUGGUGUUGCUGGACCCAGCCAUGGUGGCUUCUCAGGCCACUGGGUCAACCCAGAGAAGGGUUGGGUGAUGAACCCUAGUCAUCAAGGAAAACCUCAGCUGCUGCUGCAUGGAGAGGUUGAUCUGUGACAUUCAGGGGACUCUUGCGGGUGCCUUUAAUGAUAUCCAUGCCUCCCCAGUAAAAGUUAAUGGUCAAUCACAGUAUCCAACAGAAGGCAUGUGAUGAUUCAGACUUUUUGGGAAUGAAAGUUUGGGUUCUUUCAUCAGAACUGAGAGAAUCCCAACAAACUGAGGUUCUGGCUGAGGGCAAAGGAAACUGAUGGUUCUGGAAGGAGAUUAGGAAUAGCAGUUUUGAUCCUCUGGCUCCAGCCAGAGAUAGACACUGAGGGCUCUUUUCAAUUUCCUUCUUGCUUGGUGUGCAUGUGUGUGUGUGUACAGACAAUACACAUGUGUACAUGUAUGUGUAUGUGCAUAGACACCAACACACACCCACCCACACACACCCACUCACCCCCACACACAGACUUGCUCUUUCCUUUUGUCUCCAGUCUCUGUCAACGUUGCCCUGGCAACCAUUCUCUGCUCGCCAGCUGUACUUUGUUCUGAUUAUGCUUUCCUCCACUUGGAAGGUCCUGCCAUACCGUGUCUCUCUCAGGGAUCCCAGCCCCCUUUCUCAGAAACCUGCAUCCAGCCCCGAGUGCCCCCACCCAUGCUUGUAGCUUAUACACACCUGGUCCUUGGGCUUUGCCCCCAGCCCUGUGAUGAGCUUCACACUCUCUCUGUGGCCUCCAAUCCUUUUGUGGAUUUCAGUCUCUUGAUCCCUGUUCAAUGAAGUCCCCAUAUUAAAUUCUCUAUGUUAAGAUAACUGGUAUGACUUCUGUUUUCCUAAAUGAUACACUGAUUCCAUGACUUGCUGGGGUCCUAGAGAGCCUUCCAUCAAGUCCCUCAUUUUACAGGAUAUAUUGAACUUUUACAGCUAACUAGAGCCAGGAGAGGUGAGAUGCCUUUCUCAGGGUCACCAGACUUUCUUUCUCGCAGUACAAGCAUCCCACCAACAUUGUGUACAGACUUUUAAGCACCUCUCAAAGUUGCCAGGGGAGGAGUAUGCCUUUUGUGUGAGCUUCUCUGCCUGUCCUGCAAGAACAGCAAAGUCUUCUGUUCUCUAGCUGAGAAGAACAACUGAGCCAGAAACGGAAGGUGGUGCAUGGCGGGACGCUGCCUCCAGGGCCACAGCAUGGCCCAAAGGCCAGUCAAACAACUUUCCUUUCCUUACCCAACUGUGCCACCUACUACCCCCACCUCCCAUGGGCGAGAAGACUUGUGUGUCAAUGCCCACCCACCAGAUAGGCUGGGCACUGCUCCUGGGCAACCCCUGCAGCUGGGAGCAUGGGUUCUUCCACAGGGCAAAUUGGAACUGGAACUGUGGUUUCACUAUUUUAGGGCCACACUUCCGGCACAUGGAGGUUCCCAGGCUAGGGGUGUCCAAUUGGAGCUACAGCAGUCAGCCUAUACCACAGCCACAGGAACAUCAGAUCUGAGCUGCAUCUAUGACCCACACCACAGCUCACGGCAACACCAGAUGGCCAACCCACUGAGUGAGGCCAGGGAUUGAACCUGCAACCUCAUGAUUCCUAGUCACAAUUUGUUUCUGCUGCGCCAUAAUGGGAACUCCACCUCUCCAAACUUUACUUUUUGUCUACACAAUAGGGAUUUAGACAUCUCUCAGGGUUAUCGCCUGGAUUGAAUUCCAUGAUGCCUAAAACAUGCCUGACCCAGAGCCACUGCCCCCCCUCCUGCCCUAGCUCCUGGGAGCUGAGACUGCACCAGGGGCCCAUCACCUGCCUGGGACAGACAUGUGGUCUGGGACCCCAUCUCUGAGGAAGUGCACUUACUUUCUUUUAUAGACACAUGUCUCUCCUGAACAGAAAACAUCCAUAAAUAAAAAUCCACAAUAAAAUCCUUUUGUUCUCUGUGCCUUCCUGCUACCGUCCUCUUUAUAAUUUUUAAAAUUAUAGUUUGAUUUACAAUGUUGUGCCAAUUUCUGUUGGAAAGUGACCCAGUCAUUCACACAGAUAUAUACAUAUACACACACACACUCUCACACAUUCCCUUUCUUAUAUUAUCUUCCAUCUUGGUCUAUCCCUAUUUUAUUUUUAUUAUUAUUAAUUUUUUUAUGGUUGCACCCACAGCAUAUGGUAGUUCCCGGGGCAGGGACUGAAUCCAAGAUGCAGCUGCAUCAGAUCCUUAUCCCACCGCACUGGGCCAGAGAUGGAAUUCACACCCCUGUAGCGACUUGAGCCACUGCAGUUGGAUUCUUCACCCACUGUGCCACAGGGGAAAUCUCUCUGAUCAUUUUAUUUUAUUUUAUUAUUACUUUUGCUUUUUAGGGCCACACCCUUGGCAUACUGAGGUUUCCAGGCUGGGGGGUUAAAUCAGAGCUGCAGCUGUCGGCCUCUGUCACAGCCACAGCCACAGUAAUGCCAGAUCCAAGCCACGUCUGCAACCCAUACCACAGUUGAUGGCAACACCAGAUCCUUAACCCGCUGAGUGAGGCCAUGGAUCAAACCUGUAACCUUACGGUUCCUAGUCGGAUUCAUUUCUGUUCUGCCAUGGUGGGAAAUUCCCUCUGAUCAUUUUAAAAGGAGAGAAAUCUUUUGUCUCAUAUAAUAAAACUGAAUUACUUGGUUUACAUCUCAUCUGACGGGAAGAAC